rnacentral:rRNA from 1 species
AGUGAACGCUGGCGGUAGGCCUAACACAUGCAAGUCGAACGGCAGCACAGUAAGAGCUUGCUCUUACGGGUGGCGAGUGGCGGACGGGUGAGGAAUACAUCGGAAUCUACUUUUUCGUGGGGGAUAACGUAGGGAAACUUACGCUAAUACCGCAUACGACCUACGGGUGAAAGCAGGGGAUCUUCGGACCUUGCGCGAUUGAAUGAGCCGAUGUCGGAUUAGCUAGUUGGCGGGGUAAAGGCCCACCAAGGCGACGAUCCGUAGCUGGUCUGAGAGGAUGAUCAGACACACUGGAACUGAGACACGGUCCAGACUCCUACGGGAGGCAGCAGUGGGGAAUAUUGGACAAUGGGCGCAAGCCUGAUCCAGCCAUACCGCGUGGGUGAAUAAGGCCUUCGGGUUGUAAAGCCCUUUUGUUGGGAAAGAAAAGCAGCAGGUUAAUACCCCGCUGUUCUGACGGUACCCAAAGAAUAAGCACCGGCUAACUUCGUG